UAAUCUAUGUUUGUGUUUUAUAGCUUGAAACAAUUGGUUGGCAGCUUAAUCUUCAAAUGUCUGCAUCCACGCAAGCAAAGCUGAAAUCUCCUCGAGCUGUGCUGGAGCUGGGUGUGAGCAAUGAAGAUUCAAAGACUUUCUGUGCAGUCAGGACUGUGAACAACUCUGGGCCUUAGAUGUAUUGCUCUGUUGACUUCAUUGAGAGGAGAUAAGUGAAGGUCUAGAUGGCUUCAGAUAACAUGGUCCUGGUCACAGUCUUUCUGAACUUCUGUAUACAAGUAAGAUGGCUGCUUUUGGCCAGGAAGCAAUUUUGUUCUGAGAACUAAAAUCUAAUGAAUACUUCUACUGAUAAGAAAGCAGAAGCUUCCUUAGGACAAGGUUUCAGAAUACUGGGAGACGUCUUCAUAUUUCUAGGAGCUGUGGUGAUAAUGGUUGUAAAAUCUUGGGCAUGCGGAACAGCUCAGAAAAAUGAGCUUGGAAUUUAUAACUUGCUUCCAGGCUGUCAUGUCACUACAGAAAGCUGUUAGAAGUGUCUUUGCUCAAUCUUUAAAGCCUGAAAUUCCAAACUUGCAAUGCACAGCAAUUCUUGCAUUGGGCCAUUUCUCAUUUAUCUAUUAUCCUUGAUCAAAUUCAUUUAAUUAGAGGAAAAACUGAAGACAUCCUGAAUUUUCAAGCUGCCGAAAGAGCUUUUGUUUUCUUACCAGCACAAAAUGGAAGGCUGAAUAACCUAUAUCUCAUAAGCUGUGGGUAGUAUGGCAUUUUACCUAGAAGCCAUCUAUGGGGUGGUGUGACUCCUGCAAUACGUGCUCACCUCUGGCAACUGUAGUGCAGCAUGUAGUUAAUUAUCGAGUUCCAUUUGUGAUCUUAAAUGAUUGAAUUAUCUAGCUUAUAGUGAAGAUCCCUUUACAGGCAUUUCUACAGUAUCCUUAUGUUUUGCCUGGCAGUAGACAAAAUUUAUGAAUAAAAUCCAUAACACAUGAAUUUACAAACCCUGUAACUGAUAACAGCCUCUGCAAAUGCUCCGUUUCCACUAAAAUACUCUUACAACUCUGUCCAUAUAUGUUUUUGUCACGGGGUUAAAGAAAAACUUGGUCACUGUUGACAGUGUCAUGAAACAAUGUCCAUUUAUAGUUGAUACUCUUAAUUCUUUUGUACAGGAGUAUAUAUUAUACUGAAUUGUGCAUAAAUGUGUAGCUUCACCAUUGUCAGUCCAAUUGAGGAGCUGAAAAGUGGCAUAAAUAUUGACCCACUGCAUUGUCAGACGGAGUUUAAAUUUAAGGUGGAAAAUAACCAUGUUUUGCCUGUAGUUCUGCAGUGCUUUUGCAGUACCUUCAGUACUAAUCCCUCACUGCCUCAAUGCCCAUAGGCUGUGUCUUCAUUUUCUCAAAUCUGCUAAAAUGUGGCACCUGCCCUGUGCCUGGUUCUUCUGACAUUACGGUAGGAAAAUAAUGUAAAAGUUGACCUUUCUCUAUCAACAGGGCUCUCUUUUAUGAAAAUAACUGUUCUGCUUAUGUCCUCUGUGACAGCAGUGUUUACUGUUGCCUACUUCAAAUGGAGGUGAGGCAGGGGAAGAAAACAUGUAAUCUCCAUGUCACCAGCUUUCUAACACAGAUAUUUACAGAGAAUUCUUCUGUUUUCAGAUGUAGAAGAAUCAACGUUUUUUCUGAAGUUUUAAAAGGCAGUAAUUUCAGGGGUCAUGAAGCAUUUAGAUAUUAGUAAAUCAAAUGAGCAAAAUUUUGUGGCAUUAAAAUUGGAUAGGAGUAGUUGUCUUUUGUACUACUUAGCAAUUACUCAAGCUGUGAAGAGGUGGAAUAGGUUCUUUAUAAAAGUUGGAGGUUUUUUUAAGUAUAAUGUAGCGUUGGGAAGAUCUGCAGACCUCUAAAUGUGGUGGUAUCUUUUCUGGGUGAGACUGGAAAUGCUGCUUAGUUCUGUAUUCAGUUUCUCAGUUCUUCCAUAUUUAAAAUGAUCAACUUGUUACUGUUCAGCAGUUGCAACUUGGACAGGCUUAUAUAAAGUAUUGCUGUCUGUUAACCCUUUAUUUUUCCUUUGAGGGGUUCUAAAGAAGAUAAGUCGUGAGAGACAUGGGAGUAUUUUUAUUUAAUUAAAAAAAAAAAAGAGGAAAAAAAGGAUUUUCAUGUGUGUUUUCUCAGUGGUGCUGAGAAAAUGCUUCAAAAUACUUCACAUUGUAUAGAGCCAGCAGUGUUUUAUAUCCUUGUAUCUGGCUCUCCUGUGAGGUGGAUGCCUUCAGAGCUUGUUGGAAGGGACAGUAUUGUCUUCUGCAAUUGCCAUUAUUUCUUGUUGGUUUUGUUGUGCUUUUUUUUUUUUACUGCACAGGUACUCAGGGUACAACCAGUCUCUUUGCUUCGUGUUACUGUAAUGGUAGUUUAAGAGUAGUCCUUCCCAGGUGGAAACAGAGGAGGCACUCUCAUACUGACUCCUUUUCUGCUAGGUCUACCGUGUUUGUGUUACCCUCAGAAAUUAGAAAGCCUUUACUUAAAGAAAAGCAACACGUAAAAUGAAGGUGUUAAAAGUAAUUGCUAUGUAUAUGCAGAUUGUUUUAUUUGAAGUUGUUUACUGUAGCUUGACUAUGCUUCCAACUUCUAUAGCUGCGACGCAGAAGUGCAUUUCUGGGGGGAUGCUACAACAAAAGCUAAGUUAGUGACUUUACUAAAUUAGGCGUGAACUGCUGAAGAAAACUGACAAAGGGUUUUAUUUUCUUGUUUUCUGCAGUACUUCAUUUGCCUCUUUGAUUAGUUCACCAAAAAAGCAUACCUCCACGAGCUUCUUUGUUGUCUUCUUAACAGCAUCCCACGUAUAACAUCUUGACUUUUGUGAGAUUUUGUUAUACUUCACAGUUGUGUCCUGAGUUGUAUAUAUAUAUUUUCCACUCCUGAGCAUUAAACAUGUGGAUUAGAUUGGAAACUGUGAUAAUUUUGUUUAGGUGAUAGAAUUUUUCAGCCUAUCAUGCAGUGAAGGGUAAUAAUGUACAGGAAGGCACAACAGGCAUGAAGCAGUCACUCAGCCUCUGUCUAUCUUAUGUUGUUUAUGCAGCUUUUGAAAAGCCUAGCUGCAGUCUGACAUUUUAACUAAUAACAUCUUAAACAAAUAGACAUUUAUUUAAGUUCCUUAUUAUUUCAAGCACUUGUUUUCUUGCUGGGUGUCAUGCUAACUAGGGGUUAACUUUUGCUUUGGGAAAAAAAAAAGCCAGCAACCCUAAUUCACAUCAAAUGAGUCAUUUUAAUCAGUCACCAGUUGGUUUUUUUUUUAAUUCCUCCUGACAAUAUCAGAUAACUUCCUUGAUCUUCUGUAGUAGUUGUCCUAGUUGCUUUGUUUCCUUCAUUUUGUAAAGCUUUUUCUUUUGCCUAUUGAGUCUGAAUAUUAAUUGAUUUUCCUAGAAAGCACUUGACUGUGUGUCCUGACCAAAUAACCAGUUUCAACAUCAAAUGCACUUAAGGAAGUCCUCACGCUGACGUUGUGUGUGAUGUCUGCUUUGUACAGGCCAGAGUUGACAAUUAAAUUGUAGAUCUCCAUUGCGUAUUUGCUGGCAGUCCGCUGUAGAACUGACUAUAAUGACAUGCCUUUGAAAUCUUCCUGACUGUUCUUAUCUGCUAUAGGGUGUCUGUUGUAACUGACAGAAGUUAUAAAUAAAUGAAGUUAUAAAAUAAAUGAUGUUACACAAAUAUCAUCUUACUUUUAUAGUUUCAAAAGCAGAAAAGUAAAGCUGGGCCGAAAGGAUUAAAAUUUGGUGAAUAAUUCAGUUUUAAAUAAGUUGUAAAAUCUGAGAAUGCUUAGCAAAGUUGAUUUCACUUGCUCCUCAACUUUCUUACAUGUUAAAUGUAGGAGAUUUUGAUAUUUUUUUCCAACUUGUUUUCUGUCUUCUCCAUCAAACUCUAACUCCCCAUCAGAGAAUGAGCACUGGAAUGACCAUACAGAGCUUCAUUUAAUUAACAAUUUUACGUGCAGGAAAACCAACAUCAGCUUGAGGGUCUGCAUUUCGUUGCUGAAGUGUGGACUAUCAGGUGAGCUGUCUGCUGCAUCUGGAACUUAUAUGACCUAUGGAAGAGACAGUGGGGAUUUCCUUGUCCUGGGGGCCAGUGAGUUCCACUGGGAGCAGCUGUCUUCACUUCCAUUGCAGAAUUGGUGUUGCUAAAUUCACAGGCUUGGGCCUUAAUUGUGCAGUGCCUUGAGUGCUUUUGUCAGUAUGAAACUAAAUAAUUGAGAUUAUGCUUCAAAAUAUGAGUACUCGGCCAUAUUUUCCUUAUAGAAUUUUUCUUUCAUCCUUUCCAUCAUAGUGCUUGCUACAGAAACCAAAAGUCUGCUGUUUGAAGCAUUUCAACAAAGUGUCUGUACAUUAUGACAAAGUGGGGACAUUGUGCAUGAAACUUCAAUUCAGGUUGGAAAAUUAUGAAUUCCAUUCAAGUAUUUUACAAUGCAGCUCCAAGGAGAUAGCUGAUUUAUGCCAGAAGGUUUUGCCAAGUUUGCACAUACACUUCUGCACAUUGCAGAGCUGUGCAGAUGCUGCAUCUCGUUGCUUUUCCUAUAUCUUUGCUGUCCCUCUAAUGUGUUCUUGGAUAACACGUGUGCACGUAUUUUCUUCUUAACUGUAUUAACACCAGGAUUUGAAAGGGCUAUUUGGAAGUGAAAGGAUGGCGAGGGCAGCUACUAGGCAAAUCCACAUUUCUUUUUUUGGCUCAAUGCUUUCCCGUUAUUUUAGCUAACUUUUUGUCAAUGUGCAAACUUCUCAAAUUGGAUUUCCUAGAGAAGUAAUGUGCAUAUUUGUGAAAGAUUACAGAAUGAGCAUCUCCUGUGUUGCUAACAUCUGUCCUGCUUAAGGGAAUAAACACACAGUAUUUGCUGUCAAACAGGAUCAACACUGUGAAUUUGACAUUGCACAGGUGUCUAACAAGGCUGUGACUCCUUUUCCAGUCAUGCUUUGGGUGGAAGAGGGCAGGUCAUCACCUCUAUCAUACACAAGGGCAACAAUUUUCACCCUUUUUUUCUGUUGUUUGUAAAUGAGAGGAGUCUGGAAUGAUGUGGCAUCUAAACUUGUGUCUUUUGGCUUUAUAUGAGCGUUUAGCUAAUUUCAAAAGCUGCUAUGCAAGUGACCUUUUUCUCUAGAUAAUAUACAUGAAAUAUGACUGCUUUUACAGGAAAACCACAGCCCGCAGCGUGGCCUACAGCUCCUGUGAAAAUCUUGUUCACUGUGACUCUUAUGAAAUCACUACUAAUGAAGUAACAUAUUUCUAGGAAUGCACACUUGCAAGCAAAGCAGUAAUAGAAAGAGAUUUCAAGGGGAAUAGGGAAAUAAUUUUUUUCCGUAAGGAGAUAGAUAUACUAAGAAUACAUUUUGAAGCCUUGUAGUAAUGUAAUUACAAUACAAAAAUAUACCAAAAAAAUAAUAAACAUGCUUGUCUAGCUUGAAAUGUAUGCAUGAAAUGAAACUGCUGGCUUUUCCUGACCCCUAAAGCUACGUUUCUGAACUUGUAAAUAUGUAGUCAGAGUAACUAAGCUGUUCAGUCACCUCAUGAGACAGAACCAUACUGGUUGGUCAAAUGGAAAAGAAAAUUGUAUUGUGAUGCUUUCUAAGUGAGCUUAUAGAGUUCUCAGUAUAAGGGCAUGAAUCUUUCGGCCCUCUACAAAAUGAAAAUUUUUUGAGCAUUGCUUUAUAGACGUGUUUCUGAAUGCUUUCUUUCCUUACGAGUGUCAGGAUCAGUCACUGAGUUUUUCAAUAACAACUGAUUGAAGGCUUUUUGGAUUACCACUUGUGCAAAAAUACAGGGAGAAGAGUUUUAAAGAAGGUUGAAGAGCGUAGAUUAUUUUUGUGCCCUAUUUCCCAGCAUCAACAGAAAGAGAGUUGGAAAAUGUACUUGAGGGUAAGUCAUGAGAUUCAGAAUCUGACAGCAGAGCAAGUUUGCAGGGACCAGAUCUGUAGGCAGCUCUGGUCUGUGAAUUUAUUUUUUAUGAGGUAGGUACUUUACUAAGGGAUGUGGUUUAGUGGGAGAAUAUUGGUGGUAGGUGGACGAUUGGACUGGAUGAUCUUAAAAAGAUUACCAAGGUAAUUCUGCAAUGCAUGAUUCAGCACUUAUGUGCGCACUUGCUUCCUUCAUGAGAUGCAGAAAGAUAUUGCUCACUGUGUUGGCAUAGCAAAAUCCCAAGUUCAAGCUUUCUGAUGCAGUAUGAUAGGAGUCUGCCCACUGAGGAGUUAGAUGUCUUAGAGUUCUUCAGUGUGGAACUGAGUACGGAAUACAUUAGCUGCACAGAGGAGUUCAGCUGUGUGUUGUCUUCCUCUUCCUAAUGAAUCCUAAAUAAAGGAGUUUCAAAAUCUGACUGCAUGCCCUUCAAAAUAAAUACCCAAAUACAAGGGCAUAAACCUUAAAAUAUUUAAUUUAAAAUAUUAAAAUAAUAAAUAUUAAAAUAUUUAAUGCAGACAUCUGAAAUGAUAGCUGGAAAGGAAAAGGGUUGAAGACUUAGAGCACUUAAGAGGAGAAGGCUGAUUUGAAGUUGAAAUUUCAAGGCUGGAAGAAAUGUAUAUGUAGAUUAAGAGAAGCCCUCUUACAGCAGGCAAAAAGAUCCUAAGCUGUUUUCCCUUAUUUCUAGAUCAUUUUGCCUCUUUACUUUUCCUUUUUCCUUCUUCUUUUCUAUUGCACCAUUUCCACAGAAACAAAAACUUAAUGUUCCCUGUCAAAGACUUCUUAUAGAUUCCAGAAGCUCUAAUAUAUACAUUUUCAAAUACACUCUUCAUACAACCGGUAUCACUUCAUUUUUUCUUUGUCACUUAUCUUUUUGAAUAAUGAUUGAUUAAUAUAUUGUUACAAUUAUUUAUUUUCCUUUGUUUUUCAGACCUUCUUGUACUGUAGCUUAUCUUCUGCUGCUAAAGGUAGUGUAAGAAUAGUGUAGUGUGGUAUUACUGCAAGGCAGAUUUUAGAUAAUGUUUAGACAGCUUCAUAGUUCUUGUAUGGCAGUAUAUUCCUAUCACUUGUACUUUUAGAAGCUAACAUUCAAGAUAUUCCUGACUGAGCCUUUUAGCUUGCUGUUUCUAAACACGUUUCAGGUUUAGAAAAAGAGACUGUUGGAUGAAAAGUAAGCUGUCUUGCAGUUAGUGAGAUAAAUCUUGGAAUCAUAGAAUGGUUUGGAUCCCACCAUGCUGCCAUGGGCAGGGUGGCCACCCACCAGAUCAAGCUGUGUAGAGCCCCACCUGACCUGGCCUUGAACAUCUCCAGGGAUGGGGCAUCCAGAAGGUCUCUCAGCAGCCUGUUCCAGCAACUCACCACCCUCAGAAUACAGUUUUCCCCUAACAUCUAACCUAAAUCUCUCCUAUUUAAGUUCAUUUCCCCUGUGCUAUCACUAUUAGACUGUCACUCUCACUCAUGGUUGUAAGCUUUCUCUAAGUAUGGGAGAGCUGUUGUGAGGUCACCCUGAAGACAUCUUUUCUCCAAGCCAAACAAGCCCAACUCCCUCAGUGUUUUUUCAUAGGAGAGGUACUCCAGCUCUGUGAGUAUCUCUGCAGCUCUCAAAGAGUAGCCAGUUCUUGGUGUUGAAAUUAGUACUAUUUCUUUCCAAAUACACUUGCAUUUCAAACACUGUACAGACAGAAACAUAUAAUGCUGAACAUUUUCAGAACUGCUUUGCUGCAGCAGCUGUGGCCAGAGGAGAUUUCCUGCUAAAAUGCAUUGACUUUGUGAAAAGUCCUGUAGCCAGGCAAACUGAUUUAAUCUGGUAUAGAUAUGUCUGAUGGAGAGUGGUAUAACAAAGAACCAAAGUGCGUGCAACAAAUAUGGGGUGGUUGAAGCAGUAAGGGAAAUCAACAACAAGAGAGGAGCAGUGAACUGUUACAGACUGAAGUUGAGUUGUGCCAGCAGAGUCUUUCUGGUGCAGCUGAGAAUGGUUAGCAUGCAGACAGCAGUGCUCUAUGAGAAUGAUACAUGACAGUGUUUUCUUCUCAACCUAGUAUCAGAGAAGUCAUUUUGAAGAGCUCUUAAAUUCACAUAUAGCAUAAUUUUAUUAUUUUUUUUUAAUUUUAAAAUUCACAUUACCAUUUUAACUGCAGUUAUGCUCUCCUGUGGCCUGGAGUGAAUCAAGAAGAUCUUGGAGCCAUCUUUGAUUUUUAAGACUGAGGUGUGUUACAUUUAUCUAGAGCACAGUACACUCAUUUUUACUGCUUUUUGAAGAGAAAACCGAGACACAUUUAACUGAGGGAAUGUGAUCAAAGGGUGAGCAUAUAUUAAAAAGAGCUCUGGAAAUAAGGCAGAAGAAGGGUGUAACAAAAAUCUUUAAAAAUGCCAUGUUGCAUAUCUGUUCUGGAUGGAUAAAUAGAUGAAAUAAGUUUGUCAGCAUGAAACAUGAGAGCUACGAUACUAUAACAAGUGCCGUAAUGAGGCAUUGGGUUGUAAAUGAAAGUGCAUUCUCACUCAUUCUAAGCCUAAGCCCUUGUUUCCCUCCUUUAAAAAAACAAAAAACAACAAAAAAAAAACAACCCCAAAACUUGAAUGUUUUUGUUAAUGUGACUAUCUUUAAGAUCCUCAGAAUUCUUGCAGACUACAGAGGCUGCUGCCUCUCUAUGCCAUCAUAUUUUCAGACAACUGAAAAAAAAAAAAAAAUUGAUGUUAAGUUUUUCCUGCAGUUAUUCUGAAGCAAUUUGGUAAUAUGCUUUCAGUAAAUAGCUUUUUUUUUAACUAAAGUAAAAAAAAAUAAAAAUUGUAGGUUAAGCA